CCUACGGGUGGCAGCAGUGAGGAAUAUUGGUCAAUGUGCGCGAGCCUGAACCAGCCAAGUCGCGUGAGGGAAGACGGUCCUAUGGAUUGUAAACCUCUUUUGUCGGGGAGCAAAAGACGCCACGCGUGGCGUUCCGAGAGUACCCGAAGAAAAAGCAUCGGCUAACUCCGUGCCAGCAGCCGCGGUAAUACGGAGGAUGCGAGCGUUAUCCGGAUUUAUUGGGUUUAAAGGGUGCGCAGGCGGAAGAUCAAGUCAGCGGUAAAAUUGAGAGGCUCAACCUCUUCGAGCCGUUGAAACCGGUGUUCUUGAGUGAGUGAGAAGUAUGCGGAAUGCGUGGUGUAGCGGUGAAAUGCAUAGAUAUCACGCAGAACUCCGAUUGCGAAGGCAGCAUACCGGCGCUCAACUGACGCUCAUGCACGAAAGUGUGGGUAUCGAACAGGAUUAGAUACCCGUGUAGUC
rnacentral:rRNA from 1 species